AGCCCUUCCCAAAUCUUCACGAAGCCUAGCCAUGAUGAUAUAGCUCUGCUUUUAGAGACUUGUAAUACAUGGGGGUUUUGCCACCGUAAAUCGGACAACACUGUCAGAAGAUCUUGUCCUGAUUCUCUACCUGUAAAAUCCUAAAAAUUCCACUGAUCACAGACAGAGUUAUGGUCAUCUGUAGAUACAGUCACGUGAUGCAAUAAUGAACAAAUAAUAUGAAUAUCAUAAAGAUUUUGGGACAGAAAACAACUGGAAAGCCUUGAGGAAAUCCAAGCACCUGAGGAAUCUACGUAAGGAAGAUACCUCAUCCUUCUGGAAACUUGUUAAAAAGGACUAAGAGAAAGGCCUUUUUUACUGACUUAGCACAGCCCAGUGCCCAGUACUUUCCAAGUUUUUUGGAAAAUGAAGGUGAUUUUGUCUCAUUUUGUUCCUCUUGCUCUUCUCUUUGUAUGAUUAUCAUUCAGGACUCGGUCAGCUAUUCAAUAAGUUCACCAGUGCAGCUGGCUUCAGAAGAAGAUGUUUCCUAUUCUUUGCGUUCAUAGGCUCAUAAAUCCAGCCUGCUGAGAAUAUUAAAAGGAGAAAAAUAUUCAGGCAGGAAUAAAGCAUAUCAGAAAGAGAGAGUGAAUGUAACUGGGGAAACAUUUACUCAAAAUUACAUAUUAAGCAAUUUGCUCUUUAAUACUGAAGGAAUAUAUAGAGAAAAUAUAUUAACUGUACUUACCAAGAGCCCUCUGAAUCCAUCAAAUGCUGUUAAAACUAGCCAUUUUUGAACAAGAAGAACAUUCUGUAUACCAUGUAUUGUUUUCAAAAGUUAUUUUUAGUGCAGUAAAUAUUAAAGAAUGUCAUUGUCCCUUGCAUGAGCUCUCACUCAUUUUUCAGGAAGCUUUGCCAGAGAUGCUUGACUUAAGAACCCAUUAAAAUGAAAAUGUACUCAGGAACCUUGCAGGAACAGUGCUUGAAGACAUGGGUGCCAAGCAUGCUUGGCAGCCUGGAAAGCUUACAGAGCUCUCUGAACAGGAAUGCCAUCACAUUAAAGAAUUAGCAUAGCCCCAGGCACCGGUCUUUUUUUUUUUUUUUCCAGUAGAUGUGAAUGACAUUUUGUAUCUGAGGCAGUGUUUAAAAUAUUCCUUACUCGCACAUAAGUUUUUUAUGACUACAUUAAAAAGCAAAAGGUUGGUUUGUUCCUGUUGACAUUUGUUCCUAUUCCUCUCUCUCACUGGGCACUACAUCUCAAAUAAAGCUUUGAUGUUCAUCUCGCCUUCCACAGCUUUCUCACUCUCUCCAAAUAUUACUACUGCCUCCUGCUCAGACUUCUUCUGCUAGGCAGAAUCUGUUCUGUCAUUCUUCCUAAAGUCUACCAGAUGCCACAAAUUCAGUAAACUCCCACAAAAAUCCCUGAAAGUCUUUUACCUUCUCAGUAGUGCCUCCAAGUUCACUCUUUGAAAAUGUAGAGAAAAUAUAUUAAUAAAUACAGAAAGAAUCUGAAUAUCAGUAUUGAGGAGCCUAAAAUGAACUUCUCUUUUCACUGACCCUAGUCUAUGAGAAUUGAAGUUGGGGAAAAUUGGAGAAAUAAUCACUCAGCAGCCUCAUCAAUCAAACCAGCAGCUUAGGCUGCUAAUUAUUCCCUGGUGCAGAUACCUGAGAAUUGAGAAUUACAAAUAUGUGGCUAUUCUGACCACUCACCAAGGAAACUCAGGUUAUUGAUUCCACUACGUGAAAAUAAUCCACCUAACUCUCAGUUUCUUUCUCUUGGGAAAUCUUCUUGCAUAAGGUUCUCUGACAAAGAACAUUUAACCAAAAAAAUAUAGUUGCUGAUGGCUAAGCUUCAUAUUAUCCUAAUGGACUCCAUUUUGCCAAUUGCUUUCUGUACAGAAAAAUAAAACAAAAAUAAAACUUGUCUUUUCUCCCCAUUAGUCAAAUUCUCUGAGUAGAAGCAGCUCAUACCUUUGUUCAUUAGGCUGCACACAGCCUGAAAGGCUGGGUCGGGAGGCUGCAGUUGUUUCUGGUUUCCUACAUCCAUGUGAUACUAUUUGAAAUUGCUCCAUCCAUCAGGCUGCUGCAGAUUGUUCUUUCAGUCUGCAUUAAUCACAGUGGACUAAUCUCACUGCACUGAUGGUGUGUACAUGGGACAAGAACAGUCAUGACCUGAGUUUGGUGGCUUGUUUCUCAAUGAAAAUCAGCACAAGUAGUGCCUGAACUCUCCAGUGUCUGGGGAUGGUUACUCUUAAGUGUUUUACAGAGACACGCCACGGGAAGAAGAAGGUAUCCUGUUUCCAUGUAAGAGCUUCCAACAGUUUGUCCCUGACAAAUUCCAGAUAUAGAUUUCCAUUUUAGAGACUGUGAACAGCUAAGAACAGAGAGAGCGAAUUAGGUCAAAGAGCUGCUAAGACAUUUUGAAGUGAGAUCUCAAAAAGCAUGAUAUUUAGCCUAGCUUGGUAAUUUCAUGUAGGGGUCAAAUACUAUCUCUAUGACUUCCCACCCACAAUUCAAAGUUUUGUUUAAUUUCUAUGUUAUAUUUCAGGAAGUACUGCCAAUUUUUUACCAAACUGUGUUCCAAUUUUCAGCAACUGCAUUUAGAUUUCUGGAGCUUAUUGUUAAGUGACUUUGGAAAGUUUGUAUCAAUGUUAUUAGCAUUAUUUAUCUUUUAAAGCAUGACUUCACUGCUAGUCCCUAAAAAUAUCUGUGCUAGAGGUAUUUUUUACCCUUGAUUGCAAUGGACGCCUGUUGAAAACUCUGAAUCUGGUAACAAAACUUUCAUGGCACAGAGCCUGAGAAUCCUCAAACAUCACUGCAGUCUUCAGCUUAAAUCCAUAAACACUCAGUAUAGACAGUUACAACAGAUUUUCACACUUUCAUAAAAAAGCGCAGUGCACAAUUUUGAUAUUUUUUUUAGAAAAGUCCUCAUUGCCUCACUGUUCUAAGGCCACUUUGGUACAAGGAUUUGUUAUCUUGGCUGACAAAUGCACUGAAGCCUAUAAGAAUCUCCUUUUUUUGCUCUAACAGGCAAAUUCCCUGUUUUCUGAGAAUCCUUUCUAGGAAGGCAGUGCUGAAUGUGUAUCAGACUUGAAAAGAAAGCCUAUCUAUGCUGCCAUUUUCGCUUUUUAUUUUUCUGAUUUGGAACUCAGCUCACAUCCAGCCCGAAGAAGCAGUUCUGCGUGUGGAAAAUGCUGCAGCUGGUUUCCUCCAGUGCUUCCCAUAUUCAUAGCGAGGGAGGCAGUGGUGGGCUUACACAAGAUUGGCUUAAAUGGGAAAUCAAUACUGGUUCCUCAGUUCCUACAAAAGAGCUGAACUGGGCUGGAUUGGCUCCAAGCAGAAAAAAAGGAGUUAAGUGGAAAAAACUGGCUGCCAGUGGGAUAGGUACUCUGCUGCAUACGAGGCUGUUUGGGUCUCUGCCACUGAACCCAUCACAAGAAGUCUGAGAUAACCUGGCUUACCUCCUACCAUCUGGUUUUCAAUGAAUGAUAAAUACUGGAAAAAUAAAAGUUGGAGGCUUUUUUUCCCUAGGCAUAUAUUAGCUUAUAAAUACAUAAAUGUUUCUGUUCAGCAUCAGUAGAAUUUGUACCUGAUACUGUACUAACCAGUUACAAAAGGGGUUGAAAACUUGUUCUGCAGAUGAAAAGUGAAAUCAUUGGUGUGAUUCCUUGUUCUACAGCUAAGGAGAAACAUGUGAUCUAAUUAGCAAUUCCAUCAGACGUUGCUCGGUGAUUGGAACUUAGUUUCGCAGGGUCUCACUUGACAAGACUUUCCAUUUAAUCUCUUGUAUUUAAAUUUUCUAUGAAAUAAAUCUCAAUAAAAUUCACAUUUCUGAA